rnacentral:tRNA from 4 species
GCGGACGUAGCUCAGCUGGUAGAGCGCCAGGUUGUGGUCCUGGAUGUCGUGGGUUCGAGCCCCAUCGUUCGCCCCA